rfam:Lachnobacterium bovis DSM 14045 genome assembly, contig: IE72DRAFT_scaffold00027.27
GGUGACUUAGCCAAGUGGUAAGGCGUGGGUCUGCAACACCCUGAUCGCCGGUUCAAAUCCGGCAGUCACCU